AGCAGCCGCGGUAAUUCCAGCUCCAAUAGCGUAUAUUAAAGUUGUUGCAGUUAAAAGCUCGUAGUUGAAUUUCGGGAUCAAUACGUCGGUCGUGCUUCGGUACGUACUGACGUCAUUGAUUUCUCCCUUCUGACGAACCAUGAUGUCAUUAACUUGGUGUCAUGGGAAAUCAGGACUGUUACUUUGAAAAAAUUAGAGUGUUUAAAGCAGGCUCACGCUUGAAUACAUUAGCAUGGAAUAAUGAAAUAGGACGUUCGAUCCUAUUUUGUUGGUUUUUAGGAUCAACGUAAUGAUUAAUAGGGAUAGUUGGGGGCAUUAGUAUUCAAUUGUCAGAGGUGAAAUUCUUGGAUUUAUUGAAGACUAACUACUGCGAAAGCAUUUGCCAAGGAUGUUUUCAUUAAUCAAGAACGAAAGUUAGGGGAUCGAAGACGAUCAGAUACCGUCGUAGUCUUAACCAUAAACUAUGCCGACUAGGGAUCGGAUGAUGUUAAUUUUUUUAAUGACUCAUUCGGCGCCUUAC
rnacentral:rRNA from 1 species